UAAAAAAAUCUUGAGCACCGCCGAGAGCAGUGGAAAGAAACCCCCAAAUCGCAUCGCCUCCUCCUCCCACGCCGGCCGGAAUCCUCCUCCGCAGCCGCCUACCUCAGUCGACCUCCUUCUUCCCCACGCCGAGCGAAAUAUCUCUCUCCGUGAACUCGUUCGAGGUCGGCGUUUGCGGGCGCGGGGGAGACGCGGGAGUAAGAGCAUCCGCGGCGACCGGAGAUCAAGGAGGAGGAAGGUGCGGGUGCGUUGAAGGCGAAUCCGCCGUCCUUCCGGCGCCGUGAGGUGACCUGCGCGCGGCGGAGCUGGGUCUCCACGCAGGUACCAUAGUUUAAGGGCAGAUGCACGUUGGUUACUGAAGAGAUCUGAAAUCUCUCUUAGAAAAAGAAAUAAGACAACUUCUUUGUUUCAGACUGGUCCUUUUGACCCGUGCUUCAAGGUUGAGUAGCGGCGGCUAUGGCGGCGAUGGACAAAACAAGCGGUGGUGGUGUCAGAGGGGAAGGUGAGAAGAAGGCUGCUGCAGCGUGCGACGUGGAGGCGCUGCGCAAGUGCCUGCAGGAGAACAAGGGUGAUCGUGUCAAUGCCAGGCUCACAUCGAUGCCUUCCGAUCCUCGUGUUCUGUCAGCCCCACCACUACCUCUGACAGCCAUCCUGCCGUAAAAAAGGGGAUGUGAAACACAAUGGUUCUGUUGCUGGGGUAGUUUUACAAGAAACUGCAUGGAACACUUAUGAUGAAUAAGGUGACGACGCAAUAAGGUGACGACACAACGGUCAUGUGAAAGAUUGGAUAAUUAGAACUUAGGGUAUGUUUGAUUCGUAGCCAACAUGUACCUUACCGAAAUUUUUGGCUGUGACCAAAACUUUGGUCAUGGUUUGGAUGGUUGACAACUUUUUGGCAUGCCAAUGGCUUCAUACCACUAGUUCAUUUUUAAAGCUAA